rnacentral:misc_RNA from 1 species
AAGGAUCAUUAACAAAAACUGAACUUAAUAACUAAUCGAACGUUAGUGCUAGCAAUAGCACUAAAUAUAAAACUAUAUUUACUUAAACCAUAACUAAGUAAUUUGGUUGAUAAAAACUAAAUUUUCAACGAUGGAUGUCUAGGCUCCCAUAACGAUGAAGAACGCAGCGAAAAUGCGAUAUGCAAUGUGAAUUGCAGAACCACGAAUCAUUUGAUCUUUGAACGCAAAUGGCGCAGUUUAAAACUGCAUACUUGUAUCAGUGUGCCUAAAAAACUAAACAAUAAAAAUGUAAGAGAUAUUUCUCUUAUCAAAUAAAUGCUCCAAGUAGCAGUCACAUUCAUAUGUGAGCUGUUUGGCAGACUUAUUUACUUAUUCGCACCUGAUAUCAAGUAAGAACACCCGCUGGACUUAA